GGUGAACCUGCGGAAGGAUCAUAGUAACCGUCUUUUUGACGCACUCUGUCCCCGUCCACCGGACGAUAAGCCGCUCUGGCAGAGGAUAAAUUGCCGCUGGUGUUGCCUCUUUGUGGGCACACGUUAAAGAUCGCUCCGCCUCGUGAGUCUCUGUGACGUUGUAAACUCUACAACCGGUAGCAUUGGAUCCCUUGGCACGUCGUUCGAUGAAGACCGUUGCAAAUUGCGAUAAAGUGAUGUGAUGCGCAAGUCCACCACUUAUACGUGAAUCAUCGAGUUGUUGAACGCACUGCACCGCGCCCUAAACCGGCUGCGGUAUGCCCCUUUGAGCGUCAUUGCUUUUGUUCGUGAGCCCCCCUCUUGACGAGAGGCUCCGAGUUCGGAGUCCCCGGUCCCCUGGGAUCGUGUUCUCUCAGAUCCAGCGCGUCGACUGUCCCGGCAGGCCCUCUCAUGCUUGAGUGUGGAGGUCUGCUCUCGGAGACAUUGCGCUCGACAGGUGGCGCUGAGUGCCCCUGCCAGCAAGGCCACCGUGGCCUACAGUUCAUGACCUCAUUGGGGUAGGACAACCCGCUAGACUUAAGCAUAUUAAUCAGCGGAGGAAAAGAAACUAACCAGGAUCCCUCA
rnacentral:rRNA from 1 species